UGAGGAAUAUUGGUCAAUGGACGAAAGUCUGAACCAGCCAAGUAGCGUGAAGGAUGACUGCCCUAUGGGUUGUAAACUUCUUUUGCCGUAGAACAAAACAUGCCACGUGUGGCAUUUUGCGUGUAUACGUUGAAUAAGCAUCGGCUAACUCCGUGCCAGCAGCCGCGGUAAUACGGAGGAUGCGAGCGUUAUCCGGAUUUAUUGGGUUUAAAGGGAGCGUAGGUGGUUUGAUAAGCCAGUUGUGAAAUACUGCCGCUCAACGGCAGCCGUGCAGUUGGAACUGUCAGACUUGAGUGUACGGGAGGAAAGUGGAAUUCGUGGUGUAGCGGUGAAAUGUUUAGAUAUCACGAAGAACUCCAAUUGCGUAGGCAGCUUUCUACAGUACAACUGACACUGAUGCUCGAAAGUGCGGGUAUCGAACAGG
rnacentral:rRNA from 2 species